GAAAAACAUACAGAGGAAAGAAAUAUGAGUUAUGGAGGAAAAUGAAGAGAAGACGAAAGAAUAGAGAUGUAGAAGAAAUUACCAGUAAGCCAAGCUAGAGAUAAAAGAGAAAAUAGUGAGAGUUAUUUUGUACUCCUAUUAUUUCAGAUAAUGAAAGAAAGUACUACUGCUGCCGCGAGGACAUAGGCACACUUGCCAAACCUUGAAUACUUGCGCGUGCAAGCUCGCCAAAGUCAAUCCCGCUCUAUGGAUCUUGGUCCUUGCAAAUGGUCUUUACUAUUGUCUGGUCGUCUCAAAUUGAAUUUUGAUGGAGCCUGGAAUCGUGAUUCUCUAGUUGGAUGAGCUUGCAUCAUCGUUAGGAUGAAUUUGGAAAGUCGGGGCUCAUUGCUGGAAUUGGCAGAACGUCUCAUCUUUGCUAAUGGCGGAAGCUUUGGCAGCUCAUGAGUGCGUGGUUUGGGUAGCGUUAAUAGGCUUUCAAAAUUUUAUUAUGGAAGGUGACUCUCUUCAGAUUGUGGUUGCUUUUAAUCAUUCGUUAACUAAUGUAUCUCUAAUCGGCAUAUUAUUGAAGAUUCGAAGAGUUUGCUUGCCGCAAUCACUGAAGAUCUUUCUACCCAUGUUUUCUUUCAAGCCAACACUAUUGCUCAUAGGAUAACUAGGUUCAGUCUAAAUAUUAGCAAUCAUUUUGAAUGGCUUGACCAUCCUUUGAGUUUCAUUAUUGACCUCAUUGUGGAGGAUGUUAUGUAAUCCAUUUGUACUAUUCUUCUC